AGUCGAGCGGUAAGGCCUUUCGGGGUACACGAGCGGCGAACGGGUGAGUAACACGUGGGUGAUCUGCCCUGCACUCUGGGAUAAGCUUGGGAAACUGGGUCUAAUACCGGAUAUGACCACAUGAUGCAUGUGUUGUGGUGGAAAGAUUUAUCGGUGCAGGAUGGGCCCGCGGCCUAUCAGCUUGUUGGUGGGGUAAUGGCCUACCAAGGCGACGACGGGUAGCCGACCUGAGAGGGUGACCGGCCACACUGGGACUGAGACACGGCCCAGACUCCUACGGGAGGCAGCAGUGGGGAAUAUUGCACAAUGGGCGGAAGCCUGAUGCAGCGACGCCGCGUGAGGGAUGAAGGCCUUCGGGUUGUAAACCUCUUUCAGCAGGGACGAAGCGUGAGUGACGGUACCUGCAGAAGAAGCACCGGCUAACUACGUGCCAGCAGCCGCGGUAAUACGUAGGGUGCGAGCGUUGUCCGGAAUUACUGGGCGUAAAGAGUUCGUAGGCGGUUUGUCGCGUCGUUUGUGAAAACCCGGGGCUCAACUUCGGGCUUGCAGGCGAUACGGGCAGACUUGAGUGUUUCAGGGGAGACUGGAAUUCCUGGUGUAGCGGUGAAAUGCGCAGAUAUCAGGAGGAACACCGGUGGCGAAGGCGGGUCUCUGGGAAACAACUGACGCUGAGGAACGAAAGCGUGGGUAGCAAACAGGAUUAGAUACCCUGGUAGUCCACGCCGUAAACGGUGGGCGCUAGGUGUGGGUUCCUUCCACGGGAUCUGUGCCGUAACUAACGCAUUAAGCGCCCCGCCUGGGGAGUACGGCCGCAG
rnacentral:rRNA from 1 species